CCGGGCCUCAGCCGGGCUCGGAGGGCGAGGGCGGCCGUUCCGCGCACGGGCACACCCCGCAUCUCCCCCACACCUCUUCCUCCCACACACGCACACACCCCCUUCCCCCACACGCACACCUCCACCCCCCCGAACCGCCACACACGCACCUUUUCCCCCCCCAUGUACACAUGCACACCUACCCACCCACCUACCCCCUUUUCCCCAUAUACGCACCUCCACACCACUACACACACUUUCCCCCCCAUACACCACUAUACAUAUACACACCACCAUCCCCCUGCUCCACGACACACACACAUAUACACCCCUGCAUACAUACCCCUUUUCCCCACAUACAAACCUCCACCCCCCAGACCACUACACACACACUUCAGUGGACACAGAAGUAGCUCACCGUCCCCGGAGACCCCCAGUAUCCACGUCUGCGAAGACUUCUGCGCCCAGGUAUUCAUACUGAAGAUUUAACUCCAGUUCUUGCACACGCUGAUUUCUUAUGAGAUUGACCUCACUAUGACCGAGGGCCUCAUAGCCAUUGUAAGCUAAUAUCUUACGUGAUUAUUCUGCAAGCAUGGGGAUCCAGUUUCUCCUUGUUCUCCUUUUGGUCCAUCAAUUCCCUAAACGAACACAGGAAGCAUGCUUUAACAUUAAACAGUGGAAAUACUGAUUUUUGUCGUGAAGACAGCAAUUUAAGAUUUUAAACGUUUAUUAAAGAAUUACAGACCGUCUCAAAUUACUUGUAAAAUAAACCAUUUAAAUCCACCAUCUUGGAUGCAAACAAUUUCUUAUAAGCUGAAGGAGUCUCAGCAAAGGAAAAUGAAUUCAGAGGAAAACAGAUGAACAAGCUGAUGCCACAGAAUACAGACUGUUUUCUCUGCCUGCUCAGAUUGAAAGCUGCACUUAUCCAUGGCCAAUGGAAAGACCGUUCAGCUACACCACUGCCUGCCACAACAUAGUGUUUCAUUGUAUAAAGCUGUAUCCCACUUACUUUUUCUCCGUCAACUCCAGGUGGCCCAGGCAAUCCAAGCUCUCCCUGAAGUAGCACAAAGGAAUAAAGGUCAGAAUUUUUUGUAAGAGCAUUUUGUACACUAGGAAAUUCUCCAUUUGGGUAUCCAUCCACCAGACGUGAUGGAGGGCAGCUCCUCGGUAUUGUAAGGCUCGCGAGCAGCCUGAGGUAGAAAAUGACAUCUGGGUUUUUCAAGUGAAGUGCCAGGUUUCAUAACUCAAUGAAAAUUUGAAUUGUGCUGAAGGAAAGAGGACCAUGAAGAGCUGGACCAUGCCAAUACCUCUCCCUAGCAAGGUAUUUUUAUGCGUGCUUGUUUUAAAGAAAUAAUAACCAGUUAACUAUUAUUUACUACUUACUGACUAAAUAUUCUACCCUAGUUUUGUAACCAAGAGAUGUGCAUGUGAAAAUACUAAGAUGUGCUACACCUCAUUAGCAGAGCUGCCAACAGGAGGAAAUAAGCUCAACCUAGAACCUGUUCAGAAGUGGAGAUGCCCAAUAUCAAAACCUUUCCUGCAUGUCGCCUUUUGUGCUAUGAGACACAUUUGUCCAGCCUUGCUAAGAGCUGUUGUCACAGGGGGAUGCAUCCACCCACUGUUCGACGUGGAAAACCCCUAUCGAUACACAGAGAAGUUUGACAUGAGGAUGCGGAGACAUUCUGGGGAGACAACCUAUGGAGAACGAUAAUAUCCAGGAAGAGUCAUCAGAUUAGAAGCAACUUCCAUGGGUCAUAUCUUGUCCAGCUCUCUGCAGAAGGCACUGUCCCUAAACCUGUAUGCACAGAUGCUUAUCUAGCCUCUUCUUGGAGCCUCUAUUGAAGGAGAUUCAACAGCUCUCGGCCCACUGGUUCAGGGGUACAAUAACCUGGGUAUACAGGAUAACUUUAUCAAAGGUACAACUGGAGAAGCUUCCCACCCAUUCAGCCCCACUCUACCAGGAAACAAAACAUUAACCUAUUAAGACCACAGCAAUGCAAUUAAAGAAAAAUUGAAAUACAAAAUGCUAACACAACAGGAAAACCCUCCCAAGCUUCUGCAGAAAUCUUGCAGGCCAUUGCAAACUGUUAUCCUUACUAGAGACUCCGACAGACAGGAAGUUUGACAACCCUUUGACGGUGACGUAUAUUUUGUCAUUUGUAAACGGACCCAAAGAGACACCGGAUUGCACACCCACCCACCCACCUAGUGUGGAACUAAUUGGCGCUUUGUUAUUCUGAGCCCCUCGUUUCCAUUAUUAAUGCAGUUCACAUUGCAAUGUUUGUUCGUGUUUUAAACUCUUCAAGGCAGUCACUUUUUACGAGGUGUGUUUACUAAAAAAAGUGAGUGGGCAGACAGGCAACAUAACUAACAAGCAGCAGAGCAGUAAAGGCAGAGUCAGUGGCAGUUUACUGAUUUGCCCCUGAGCCAUCUCACCAUGCAACACACGGGGCAGGAUGCAGACCGAGGAGCCAUCAGUCAUUGUUAGUUGACUGAGUCGCCAAACAUUGGAUGGACCCUUUCCAGUGAACUCAGUCCACAAAUUCCACUCACAAAGCCACAUGCUGUGCUCUUCUGUCAAGGCAACCCAUGCAGACAUCUGGCAUACAGUAAUUACCAUCACUUUGUGUCUCCCUGCAGCCUGUUAUAAAACAAUUAGGAUGGUUUUCAAAUGUGUCUGCAAUUAAAUUAUUUCUUCCAUUCAA